GUCUCUGUGGCUCAGUUGGAAGAGCGUUGGUCUCAUAGGAACUCUCUAUGACCCUGUCUGAAGACAUGGAUAUCCAAAGGUCGCAAGUUCGAGCCUUGCCAGGGACA
rnacentral:tRNA from 1 species